rnacentral:tRNA from 1 species
UGGGGUGUGGCUCAGCGGUAGGGCACCUGCCUAGCGUGUGCGAGGCCCUGGGUUCCAUCCCCAGCCCCACAA